AGUGUGAAACCAUAUGAUACUAAC
rnacentral:miRNA from 1 species